AAUUCUUCAAAAUUGCUGAGGUAAACAUGAACAAAUACUAUGCAUUGUCAUUUUUACAUGGAUUUUUUUUCUUUUUUCUUUUCUUAAUUGGUACUCACAUAGGGACAUAGUUGUUAAAGGUGCCGGAGGCGCGCGCCUGUGGCGCAAGGCGCCUCCAAGCGCCACCAUGUCGCCUCCAAUGGCUUAAGGCACUGGGUUGAAUAGGGCGGCCGCCUUUGUAUAACAGGCACAAGGCCACAGGCGCACAGAAAGCGCACCUCUUGAAAAAGGGAACUUUUUUUUAUAGUUGUUUUGUUAUUUUUUCGGUUUUGUAUUGUUUAUUAUUUGUUUAUUAUUACUUUUUAUUUGUUUAUUACACAACUUACGAGUUACAAAACGAAAAAAUAAAAAGAAAACCAAAAGCAAAAGUGGAAAGAGACAGAUCUGCCGGUAGCGAAGGCGAUAUCUGCGAAGCUCUCGGAUCUACCGGCUCUCUCAGUCUCGGUCCUCUCGGAUCUGCCGGUGUUCGUCAGUUCCAGAGUUAGAGCUUGGACGUGCAGAGCAGAUACAGAUAUUCAUUCCUCCGACUAUGUAGGAAUCUCCUUUAUGUUAGCUUUGGUCUUUAUUUCUAUUAUUUUCAGUUCCGGUUUGAGAAUCUUUAAUAAGGGGUCCAAUGGAUGGAUUCCCAAGUUGUAAACCUAUGGGGUUUGGAUUUAACGGAUUUUAAAUAAUUAUAUUAUUUUAAGGAUUUUCAAUUAGCAUUCUUUCAGCUUA